AUAUACAGCAGUUUCCGGAGCCAUAAAUGGAGAAAACAUCAGUCAUGCACCAUUAAUGACUUUAAAAGUGGAAUAGUUGUCACGUCACUCAUUUCCAAUCCAUCUGACUAUGACUUGAAUGAAGAAAUAGAGCUAACCACUGAGAGAACCAUACGGGAGAAGAUGGCCAGGACUUUUCAGUUCAGGAGGCAAGAGAUUGUGGAUCAGAAGCCAACCAUCGAGAACCUCAUGGAAAGAUGGCCAGCUUUAUUUCAGAUGGAAGAGGUUGAUGCAGAGUUUCUGCGCGUUACUGCUGUUCCCCUCCUGACCUGAUUUAUGGCGCACCUGGACAAGCACUCCCCGCAGCUGCUGAAGAUCUUCAGAAAGAAAGGAGGGAUCACUAAAGCAAAAACUGCCACGAUCCUUGAGUUUCUUGACCAGGGUGCUGAUGCAGAUUUCAGAAGGGAGUGUAUCCUCAAAGCCCUCAUCAUCUACCUGGGAGAACGUGUUGAGGACCUUAUAAAGGAAUACAUGGUAUGUCCAGAUAUUUUCUGUCACAAUGAUGAUUCAACUUUAUUCAUCACGGGAGAACACCUAUGCCAUUAUACAGUAUAUAGUGAUUAAUGAGGUGUGCCAGACUGCAGUUGUUCAGUUGC